UGCCAGCCGCCGCGGUAAUACGUAGGGGGCAAGCGUUAUCCGGAAUCACUGGGCGUAAAGGGUGCGUAGGCGGCUAAGUAAGCCAGGGGUGAAAGGCUACGGCUCAACCGUAGUAAGCCUUUGGAACUACUUAGCUUGAGUGCAGGAGAGGAGAGUGGAAUUCCUAGUGUAGCGGUGAAAUGCGUAGAUAUUAGGAGGAACACCAGUGGCGAAGGCGACUCUCUGGACUGUAACUGACGCUGAGGCACGAAAGCGUGGGGAGCAAACAGGAUUAGAUA
rnacentral:rRNA from 1 species